rnacentral:lncRNA from 1 species
UCAAAAGAGUUUUAUAUAAGAAUAAUAUGUUUGUUUUCUCACCAAUAUGUGCAAAGAAAUGACAUAAGAAUUGUAACCAAACAACAAGUAAUCCAAAGCUUCAGUUGCAUAUUUUUUAACUUGUUGCUUGUUACUGUAAGGUUGUCUCCUCAUCUGCCUGUUGUACUUCACAGUUGCCCAGUUUGUGAUCAAGUUGUCUAGUUUUGUAGGUUGUUAUUGCAUACCUUGUUCGACUCAACAAUGUAUGAACCAUUUAAUACCUUGACGGAAGACCUGAUGGUGCUGCUGCAACACAUGGUUUAGAGUGAAGUAAUACUUGAGUUACGACGACUAACAUUUUCAAGUGACCAACCUGUAAAAAAGUUGUAAAUGAUAUAAUAUCACCCCGUCCUUGUAAAAGGUGUUUUUCAGUCUUUGGUAUGUUGUGAAGCAGCUAACUCUUUUUCUCCCAAAAGUAAUUAUAUAUUGUCCGUGAAGACAGACAAUACCCAAGAGGUACGCAUGGCGGUCAAAGUUGAGGCAUCUACAUUUUUGUUGCGAAACCCAAACAACAACAACGACGACCCAGUGAAAUCCCACUAGUGGAUUCUGGAGAGGGUAGUGUGUACGCAAACCUUACCCCUACCCCGAAUGAGUAGAGACGCUGUUUCUGAAAGACUCUCGGCUCAAGAAGACAAAAAGAGACAAUAUCAGUAUCACCAAUAGAAACCAUAGGAAAAAUAACAUCAUGGAAAUGAGAAAGUAGAUGCAAAGCAAACGCGAUAGACAGUACAUAGACCCGGUACUAUAGUAAACAAAGGAGUAGUAAGACACACCAUUGUUGCGAAACCCAAUGAGACCUUAUUUGUAGCUAAUGAGAAUACAGUAACAAUGCAAACAUGAUGCCAGUCAACUUACUGCUAAUAAUAAUAUACAUAAAAUAGAAAAGAGAACAAUUUACUCUUUCAAGCAUAAACUUUAAGAAAAGCUAUUAGUAAAAUCUUUGCUCUUUUUUGGAACUCGAAAUUAAGGCUAUUAUAAUCUUUCACUAUUAAUAUUUUUUUCUAAUAUAUACAUAAGUAAGCAAAUUACUGAUUCCGCUUCUUUCAAGUUCAUGAAAGUUUUAAACAGGGAUUAGUGAUGUGGUGACUGAAAUUGGACUACAUGCAGCUUAUGAUCACCAAUAGAGAGGUUUUAAAGUAACAUUGACAAGUGUAAUUUGUGAAAAGCAUAAGCAUGUAAAACUUCCUACCUCCAGCUUAACAUUUAAGACCAUCUCGAAUUGCUUGACAAUCUCUCUCUGAUGACAUCUUGGUCGAUUUCUGCCCUCAAUAUUGAGAUUGGAACCUUAAUAACUGAUCAUCACGUCCGAUCCUUUUCCGGACCCCGCACAUAGCGGGAGCUUAGUGCACGGGCUGCCCUUUUACAAUAGAUUAACAACCUAAGGCUUCAGAAGCAAAAACGACCAAAAUCAAUAAAUUAUGAAAACUGUCUUGAUACUGCACUAAAUUAUGAAAUUAUGUUCUAAAUUGAGAAGUAGAAGUGAACUAUCAUGGCAAACAUGAUAUUUUUGAUAUAUUGAACCGAAUAAAUGUUUAAAACCAUUCCUCCUACAGUGCCUUCAAGAACGACAAUCUUUUCUACUAAACAUUUAGUACCAUGGAAACACUUGAGGGAAAAUCUUUUUAGACCAAACUAACCGAAAAAAGGUAAAUGUGACACAGUAGUACAACUAUAUGAUAACCUUUUAUCUGGUCAAACUCGGCAAGAAGUGGAACUUGGUAAAGAAGAAAGACAACAUAAAAAUAAAAAUGAAAGUGUAAAGUAACCUAAGUUCAUUUGAAAAACAAAAAUGACAUAACUCACUUAACUCCCUUACCUCUGUUGGAAUAAAAUAAGACAAGCAGCACAGCAUCCUAAGCAAUUGGUAUGAAGUUGAGCAGCUCUUGUUAAGCAACAUAAUUUACUUUGUGAAAGAGGCCACAUGAAUGCUUAAUGAAGACCCAAAAAGAUGCCAAAUAUUCAUAUACAAAUGAACUUCAUUUGGAAUCUAAAAUAUUACAUACCUAGAAAUUAGUACAUUACUGGUAUGAUGAGAAAGUCGCUGGCUUUUUAAGUUAGCUCUUUUAGCUUGCAGUUGCAAUAAAAUGAUUGUUUUCUCUCUGACGAUCUCCGACGACAUUUGUGCAUAUCUAAUACGACGUCACAUAUUUCUAUCAGCAAGUCGUUGUUCCUCAGUAUACCGUAAUCUAUGCAAUCCAGUGUCUUUGCUUGUUGACACUCCAGUUCCAAGCAAUUUUUUAUUUUGUUAAGUAAUUUUUACAAUUUGGUUUAAUUCUAAAAAACUUUACAUUAGAUAGAUACAUACCUCUAUUUGUAGAAACUACUGGAAUUGGAGAAUUUCUGAAUCACAUCUACCUGAUGUUGAUCAAGGCAAUGGAAUAGUAAAUGUAUAGACAUGUAUAACUUAAAUGAGUUAGCCAAUUAGUAUAUUCGGAAUUUUGAAGUAUUUGUGGACUCACCUACAUCAAAGAUAGAGAAGGAAUCAUUUGUAUUUGUAGCUGCAGAACCUAUUAAAUAAAAAGCAAAAGUAACUUAAAUGAUAGUAGAUCAAGAUAUGCAUCAAAAUACACCUAUAUAUACACAUACGACAUUAUGCACAUGUAUAGUAGUAAUGUCUCUGAUAAGGACGAAAAAGUUAUACUUUCGUGACCUUCCUCAGAAGCUAACGGAGGAUUAGUAAUUGUAAGAAUACUUCGUUUUCCAGGUUGGAUGUCGAUCUCUGAAGAAGAUAGUGCAGUACUUGUAUGAUGUAACAGCCGCAACUUUUUGAUUCAACUCUUUUAGCUUGCAGUUGCAACAAAAUUGAUUGUUUUAUUUUCGGCUACAUUUUGUGCAAUCUAGUACGCGGUGUCAUAUUCUUAUCAACAAGUCAUUGAUCCCGAGUCAUUUUCAGCUCUAUGCAAUGCAGUGUCUUUGUUUGUCAACAUUCUUGUUCCAAGCAAUUUUUUAUUUUGUUAAGUAAUAUUUACAUUUUGGUUUAAGUCUAAAAAACUACACAUUAUCCCUAAUUUUUUGAUGACAGAAAAUUAGAUUAAUAGUAGCAAUUGAAACAUAUCCAAACAAUUGAUAGACGUCUCAAAUGUAUUUCUUGAACACAACCAUAUAUAGCACACAUAUUAUUCACCAAUGCUAUCUAGAAAUAAGUAAUAUUCCAUUACAUAUAUAGGAGUAUGUUGUAGAAAAUCAGAGCAAUAAAAGUAGUUUCAAUUGCUUCAAGCAUGUUAUCAAACACUUUAGGUGCUUCAUUAAACGGGUACAGCAAAAUCACAAUGGAGACCAAGCAACUCCUUAUUCUAACAAAUUUAAUUUAUAAAAGGAAAACAUAGAUGAUGUACAAAAGGAUAUAAAUCUCAAAGUAAGCAAGACUUGGUACAAAAACCAACACAAUCAGAGAAAUAAAAUGUAAAGUAGAUAUUUCCUACCACCAGAAAAUUUCGAUACCUCCUAGAAUUUCAAAUGGAACAAAAAUGGCAAUCUAUCACAUGCAAUGUUAGAUGAGGUAUCAGAAAUUACAUUAACUAAAACACAUUAUUCGCUAAUUCUGUCCAGUAGAAGUAAGUAAUGUACCCUUUGGAUUGUUGACUGACAGAGGAGCAUUUUGUAGAAAAUCUGUGAAAAAAACAAAGAAAUAGAAUAUUGUUCAGUUACUUUGGCAUACUAUCAAACAUCUUAGGUGCAUAAUGCAGUAAAAAGUUUGUAUAAUAGACCCAAAAGAAAUGGCGAUUACAAACAAAGAAAGUACAGCAAAAGAAAAGCAACCCAACUAAAAAUUGAGAAAGAGGAGAAAAGAGAA